rnacentral:rRNA from 1 species
CGAACCUGCGAAGGCAAGCGGAUCUCUUAAAGCCGUUCUCAGUUCGGACUGUAGGCUGCAACUCGCCUACACGAAGCUGGAAUCGCUAGUAAUCGCGGAUCAGCACGCCGCGGUGAAUACGUUCCCGGGCCUUGUACACACCGCCCGUCACACCAUGGAAGUCUGCAAUGCCCGAAGCCGGUGGCCUAACCACUUAUGUGGAAGGAGCCGUCUAAGGCAGGGCAGAUGACUGGGGUGAAGUCGUAACAAGGUAAC